rnacentral:rRNA from 1 species
UGCGACCGUUGUCGGUGCCGUAGGGAAGCCGUGAAGCGAGCCACCUGGGAAGUACGGCCGCAAGGCUGAAACUUAAAGGAAUUGGCGGGGGAGCACCACAACGGGUGGAGCUUGCGGUUUAAUUGGAUUCAACGCCGGAAAUCUUACCGGGACCGACAGCAACAUGAAGGCCAGGCUGAAGACUUUGCCGGAUUAGCUGAGAGGUGGUGCAUGGCCGUCGUCAGUUCGUACUGUGAAGCAUCCUGUUAAGUCAGGCAACGAGCGAGACCCACGCCCACAGUUGCCAGCGUACUCUCCGGAGUGACGGGUACACUGUGGGGACCGCCGCUGCUAAAGCGGAGGAAGGAAUGGGCAACGGUAGGUCAGUAUGCCCCGAAUAUCCCGGGCCACACGCGAGCUACAAUGGUUGGUACAAUGGGUAUCUACCCCGAAAGGGGACGGAAAUCUCCUAAAACCAAUCUUAGUUCGGAUUGAGGGCUGCAACUCGCCCUCAUGAAGCUGGAAUCCGUAGUAAUCGCGUUUCAACAGAACGCGGUGAAUACGUCCCUGCUCCUUGCACACAC